CAGAUAAAAAAGAAGCUGCUGUGUCCAAAGAACUCAAAAAGCCAAUAAAAGCUCCUGCAGCCAAUCCAGCCAUCAAAAAAGCAGCAGCAUCAGAACCACACAAGAAAGAAAAAACAAUGGAAUCUGCCAAAACAGCAAAGAGAGAAGUAAAAGUACAUGCAUCAGUGGAAAAUCCAAAGUUAAAAGGAUCUGAAAAGAAGGAAGUAAAAGCAACAAAGGCAGCAGAGCAAGAUAAACCAAAGGCGAAACAAGGAAGUAAGCUAUAUUUUAUGCAUUACUUCUCCCUAUAACUGA